CGCGGCCUAUCAGCUUGUUGGUGGGGUAAUGGCCCACCAAGGCGACGACGGGUAGCCGGCCUGAGAGGGCGACCGGCCACACUGGGACUGAGACACGGCCCAGACUCCUACGGGAGGCAGCAGUGGGGAAUAUUGCGCAAUGGGCGAAAGCCUGACGCAGCGACGCCGCGUGAGGGAUGAAGGCCUUCGGGUCGUAAACCUCUUUCAGCAGGGAAGAAGCGAGAGUGACGGUACCUGCAGAAGAAGCACCGGCUAACUACGUGCCAGCAGCCGCGGUAAUACGUAGGGUGCAAGCGUUGUCCGGAAUUAUUGGGCGUAAAGAGCUCGUAGGCGGUCUGUCGCGUCUGCUGUGAAAACUCAGGGCUUAACCCUGAGCUUGCAGUGGGUACGGGCAGACUAGAGUGCGGUAGGGGAGACUGGAAUUCCUGGUGUAGCGGUGAAAUGCGCAGAUAUCAGGAGGAACACCGGUGGCGAAGGCGGGUCUCUGGGCCGUAACUGACGCUGAGGAGCGAAAGCAUGGGGAGCGAACAGGAUUAGAUACCCUGGUAGUCCAUGCCGUAAACGUUGGGCGCUAGGUGUGGGGCUCUUUCCACGAGUUCCGUGCCGCAGCUAACGCAUUAAGCGCCCCGCCUGGGGAGUACG
rnacentral:rRNA from 1 species